AAGGGCAUACGGCGGAUGCCUAGGCGUUUCGAAACGAAGAAGGACGCGAUAAGCUGCGAUAAGCCGUGGUUAGCUGCAAGUAAGCAUUGAUCCACGGAUUUCCGAAUGGGGCAACCCGGCAAGAGUAACGUCUUGUCACCCUAUCCUUUGAGGUAGGGGGAAAACACCCGAUGAACUGAAACAUCUAAGUAGUCGGAGGAAAAGAAAUCAAAGAGAUUCCCUGAGUAGCGGCGAGCGAAACGGGAGGAGCCCAAACCAAGAGACUUCGGUUUCUUGGGGUUGCGGACCUGCAACAAACCGGACACUUUAGUGGAAGCAUCUGGGAAGGUGCGGCAAAGAGAGUGAGACCCUCGUACACGAAAGAGUGAAAGGCGGGCAGGGAUCCAGAGUACCACAGGGCACGAGGAACCCAGUGGGAAGCAGGGUGGACCACCAUCCAAGGCUAAAUACAUCGAAACGACCGAUAGUGAAAAGUACCGUGAGGGAAAGGUGAAAAGAACCCCGGGAGGGGAGUGCAAAAGAACCUGAAACCGUAUGUCUACAAACAGUCGAAGCACAAUUUAACGUGCGACGGCGUGCCUAUUGAAGAAUGAACCGGCGAGUUAAUUUAUGCUGCGAGGUUAAGCAGAAGAUGCGGAGCCGAAGCGAAAGCGAGUCUUAAGAGGGCUGUUAGUAGCAUGGAUUAGACCCGAAACCACAGUGAUCUAUGCAUGUCCAGGUUGAAGCUCAGGUAAAAAUGAGUGGAGGACCGAACCCGUGCGUGUUGAAAAACGUUGGGAUGAGGUGUGCAUAGGGGUGAAAUGCCAAUCGAACGUGGAGAUAGCUGGUUCUCCCCGAAAUAGCUUUAGGGCUAGCCUCAGGCGAAUCACCAUAGAGACGGUAGAGCACUGAUCGGGCAAGGGGGCGUAAAGCCUACCGACCCCAGUCAAACUACGAAUGGCUCAUAUGGGCAGCCUGGGAGUCAGAAUGCGAGUGAUAAGACCCGUAUUCAAGAGGGAAACAGCCCAGACCGCCGGCUAAGGUCCCAAAUGCUGUGCUAAGUGGAAAAGGAUGUAGGACUUCGAAAACAACCAGGAUGUUGGCUCAGAAGCAGCCACCAUUAAAAGAGUGCGUAAUAGCUCACUGGUCGAGAGGCCCUGCGCCGAAAAUAUCCGGGGCUAAAGCACAGAACCGAAGCCGCGGCAGGGUGUACUAAGGUACACACUGGGUAGGGGAGCGUUCUUAUCUGGACGAAGGCAGACCGGAAGGACUGCUGGACGGGUAAGAAGUGAGAAUGCCGGUAUGAGUAGCGAAACGACAGGUGAGAAUCCUGUCCACCGAAAGCCUAAGGGAUCCUGGGCAACGCUCGUCGCCCCAGGGUAAGUCGGGACCUAAGCCGAGGCGAAAAGCAUAGGCGAUGGACAACUGGCGAAAAUUCCAGUACCGGGCGUCUUCGUUUGAGGAUGGAGUGACGCAGGAAGGAAGCUGAGCGCGCGAAUGGUUGGGCGCGUCGAAGGCGGUAGGCUUGUAUGGAGGCAAAUCCCCAUACUAUAAGGCCGAGAACCGAUAGAUAGGAAAGACUACGGUCAAUCUGAAUUCAGCUGUACUACACUGCCAAGAAAAGCUUCUAACGAGAAGACGUCUGCCCGUACCAAAACCGACACAGGUAGGCGGGGAGAGAAUCCUAAGGUGCGCGGGAAAACCCUCGUUAAGGAACUCGGCAAAAUGCAUCCGUAACUUCGGGAAAAGGAUGGCCGUAGCUGGUGAAGCUUUUUACAAGUGGAGCUGGAGACGGCGGCAGAAAAGAGGCCCAAGCGACUGUUUACCACAAACACAGGUGCCUGCGAAAGCGCAAGCUGAAGUAUAGGUGCUGACGCCUGCCCGGUGCAGGAAGGUUAAGGAGAGUUGUUAGUCUUUGGGAUGAAGCAGCGAACUGAAGCCCCUGUAAACGGCGGCCGUAACUAUAACGGUCCUAAGGUAGCGAAAUUCCUUGUCGGGU
rnacentral:rRNA from 1 species